UUUUGGAUGCUAACAUCCCACAGCUCUGCCCCAGCAUAUGGUCUCCACAGUUAUGUCAUUGUAGCAUAUUCUGAAAUAAGUCAUAUGCCCAAAGACUCAGUCAGAGAAAAAUUAAAUCCUUUCCAUAGGCAUGAGUUCUUAUUUACAUCUGUUCCUCUGGGGCGAAUCAUUCUGGCAGUGGGAGAGCUGGGAAGCAGAGCUCACUCCAUUGUCUCUGCUGUGACAGACUAGCUCCACCAGGCCUCCUUUCCCUCAGCUGUCACCUCCGGGGCAGCCAUCCCAUCAGACUGCCUCAGUGGCAGAGAUGGAAAGCAGGGCUUAUUUCGCCAGCCUUGCUGAAGGCCCAACUUCAUCAAUAAACACACAAGACGUAACCGGCUGUGUUCUUAGUCUUCCGGACUUCUAAUCUUAGCAGAGGAACUAUGCGUCUGCCUGAGCUAUGGCGAACCUGGUUACUGUGAUGAAAUGGCGUCCGCUGCUAAUGAUUGCUGCCAUGGUCUCGGCACCAUCGCCUCUCUCUGACAUCUCUCUCAUCUGAACUGAGAUUGCUGACUGACAGCUCGCACCAGUCAGAGGGACACGGCGCCAAACAGAUGCCUCCGAGUCUAUGUCCCCACCGUGUCGAUGCCAGGACAUUGCUUGCAAGACACGUGAAACUGCUGAGGAUCCAUUACUGAACUUUCACAAAAGUGAGACUUCUUUGGCGGUAUAAUUAAAAG